ACUGCGGAAGGAUCAUUGUCACACAUCCUAAUGGAUGCUUGUGCCAACAAGCAGACCCAGCGAACCAUUCUCCUAUCACUUGAGGGGCUGCAUCGCGAGGUGCAGCUGUCUGCGGUCGGGCCCUUGCUUCAGGGCCGGAGUCCUUGCUGGGUUCACCGUUGCAGGUGAGCACCGGCCGUCCGACGGGGGCCGCUCUUGGGCCUCGCACACGGGAGAGUGCGGGGGCGGCGUUUCCCACUCCAGCUGUCCCUUCCGGGGCAGCUGCGCAACCAACCAAAACACUAUGCAAAAACCGACUGAAGACCGAUCCUUUGCGGGCGCCUUCGGGAGCCCUGCCUCGGAUCAAAAACAAACUAAAGACAACUCUCAACAACGGAUAUCUUGGCUCUCGCAACGAUGAAGAACGCAGCGAAAUGCGAUACGUAGUGUGAAUUGCAGAAUUCCGUGAAUCAUCGAAUCUUUGAACGCAUAUUGCGCCCGCGGCCUCGGCCAAGGGCAUGCCUGCCUGAGCGUCAUUAUAACACCUCACAACCCCUUUUUGGGGUAGUGGAUCUGGCCGUCCGGACUCUCGAGCCUGGUCGGCUGAAAGGCAGAUGCAAAGCCAGCAGCCCAUUCAACGGCAAGGCGUGGUAGACCGCAUCGCGGGCGAUCGUCGUGCCGGGGCUGCCUUUUGGCCUUCGCAUUAGCAGGAACCGCCGCUCUUGACGGACUUCGGUCCGAAAGGAGCCGGCCUUGACCCAUUGACCUCAGAUCAGACAAGAUUACCCGCCGAAUUUAAGCAUAUUACUA
rnacentral:sRNA from 1 species